rnacentral:rRNA from 1 species
UACGUAGGUGGCGAGCGUUGUCCGGAUUUACUGGGCGUAAAGAGCGCGCAGGCGGUCGUUCAAGUCGCGUGUGAAAGCCCCCGGCUCAACUGGGGAGGGUCACGCGAUACUGAUCGACUCGAAGGCAGGAGAGGGUAGUGGAAUUCCCGGUGUAGUGGUGAAAUGCGUAGAUAUCAGGAGGAACACCGGCGGCGAAGGCGGCUUCCUGGACCGAUACUGACGCUGAGACGCGAAAGCGUGGGGAGCAAACAGG